GAUGAGAUUGAAAGAGUAGCAGGUACAAGAAGAUGAAUAUCAGGAUCUUGUUUCAUCUGCCAAAAACUUUUCAAGUGAAAGGAAGUUGGGUCAGGAAGGAUUUGGAUGUGUUUACAAGGGAUACCAUAUCCAUUUGGGAAUUGCAGUGAAGAAAAUAUCAAAGCGUUCGAAUAAAGGGGAGUAUGUGACAGAGGUGAACCCUAAACCAUACAUUAGAGAAAUGAUGAAGAUACGUUUCUCACAUUCAAUGUAACAACA
rnacentral:misc_RNA from 1 species